rnacentral:rRNA from 1 species
UGGGGGAUAUUGCACAAUGGGCGAAAGCCUGAUGCAGCGACGCCGCGUGGGGGAUGAAGGCCUUCGGGUUGUAAACUUCUUUUGCUCUGAACAAGGCAUGCCUUUGGGGUGUGUUGAGUGUAGGGGUUGAUUAGCGCCGGCUAACUACGUGCCAGCAGCCGCGGUAAUACGUAGGGCGCGAGCGUUGUCCGGAAUUAUUGGGCGUAAAGGGCUUGUAGGUGGCUGGUUGCGUCUGUCGUGAAAGCUCAUGGCUUAACUGUGGGUUUGCGGUGGGUACGGGCUGGCUUGGGUGCAGUAGGGGAGGCUGGAAUUCCUGGUGUAGCGGUGGAAUGCGCAGAUAUCAGGAGGAAUACCGGUGGCGAAGGCGGGUCUCUGGGCUGUUACUGACGCUGAGGAGCGAAAGCGUGGGGAGCGAACAGG